rnacentral:tRNA from 1 species
UGGACACUGUGGGAAUUGAACCCACGACCUUUCACACACGUAGCCAGAGGCGCUGCGAAGCGAAAAUCAUACCCCUAGACCAAGCGCCC